rnacentral:rRNA from 1 species
GUGUCAGCCGCCGCGGUAAGACAGAGGGUGCAAACGUUGCUCGGAAUCACUGGGCGUAAAGGGCGUGUAGGCGGGCGGAUAAGUCAGAUGUGAAAUCCCCAGGCUCAACCUGGGAACAGCAUUUGAAACUGUCCAUCUUGAGUGUCGGAGAGGAAAGCGGAAUUCCUGGUGUAGAGGUGAAAUUCGUAGAUAUCAGGAGGAACACCGGUGGCGAAGGCGGCUUUCUGGACGACAACUGACGCUGAGACGCGAAAGCGUGGGUAGCAAACAGGAUUAGAUACCCUCGUAGUCC